CCUACGGGAGGCUGCAGUGGGGAAUAUUGGACAAUGGGGGGAACCCUGAUCCAGCCAUGCCGCGUGUGUGAAGAAGGCCCUCGGGUUGUAAAGCACUUUCAGUGAGGAAGAACGCCUGGUGGUUAAUACCCAUCAGGAAAGACAUCACUCACAGAAGAAGCACCGGCUAACUCCGUGCCAGCAGCCGCGGUAAUACGGAGGGUGCGAGCGUUAAUCGGAAUUACUGGGCGUAAAGCGCGCGUAGGUGGCUUGAUAAGCCGGUUGUGAAAGCCCCGGGCUCAACCUGGGAACGGCAUCCGGAACUGUCAAGCUAGAGUGCAGGAGAGGAAGGUAGAAUUCCCGGUGUAGCGGUGAAAUGUGUAGAGAUCGGGAGGAAUACCAGUGGCGAAGGCGGCCUUCUGGACUGACACUGACACUGAGGUGCGAAAGCGUGGGUAGCAAACAGGAUUAGAUACCCUGGUAGUC
rnacentral:rRNA from 1 species